ensembl:lncRNA
UCCUGACAGUGUUAAUCUUACACGAGUAGAGUUUAAAGAUCAUUCUUGGUCUUUACUGGAAACAGUUAAAAAGAAAACUAGAGAAGAAAGCAGAUUGCCUGUAAUCCUGUCAUCUGAAGAUGGCUUUUGUUUGGUUUCUAGGCAUGAACAAGUAUGUCGGUAGUUUUGCCUCUUUUACCAGAGCCUCUGUCAGUUCUCUGGGGAUGCCCUUUCCUUUAAUAUCCAAAUAAGAAGGAUCUAGCCCCAAUCCCUCAUCUGACUCAUUGGUAAAUGGACUGAUGCUGGGAAAACUGAGGGCAAGAGGAGAAGGGGUGACAGAGGAGAGAUGGGUGGAUGGCAUCGCUGACUCAGUGGAUGUGAGUUUGAGCAAACUCAGGAGGACAGGGAACUCAGAAGGAUGGGAACUCAGGAGACAGGAACUCAGAGGACAGGGAACUCAAAGACCUGGAACUCAGAAGACAGGGAACUCAGGACAGGGAACUGAGAGGACAGAGAACUCAGGAGACAGGGAACUCAGGAGACAGGGAACUCAGAGACCUGGAACUCAGAAGACAGGGAACUCAGGACAGGGAACUGAGAGGACAGGGAACUCAGGAGGCAGGGAACUCAGGAGACAGGGAACUCCGAGACAGGGAACUCAGAGGACAGGGAACUCAGAGACCUGGAACUCAGAAGACAGGGAACUCAGGACAGGGAACUCAGGAGACAGGGAACUCAAAGACAGGGAACUCAGAAGGACGGGGAACUCAAAGACCUGGAACUCAGAAGGACGGGGACUCAGAAGAUGGGGAACUCAGAAGGACGGGAACUCAGAAGACAGGGAACUCAGAAGGACGGGGACUCAGAAGAUGGGGAACUCAGAAGGACGGGAACCCAGAAGACCGGGAACUCCGAAGGACGGGAACUCGGAAGAACAGGGAACUCGGAAGGACGGGAACUCGGAAGGACAGGGAUCUCAGAAGGACAGGGAACUCAGAAGACGGGAACUCAGAAGACAGGGAAGCCUAGUGUGCUGCAGUCCAUGGGGUCACAAAGAGUUGGACACGACUGAGCGACUGAACAACAACCCCGCCCCGCCCUAUCCUGGUAUUAGAAGGUAGCCUUUUCCUCCCUGAGUGCUUUUGCCCUUCCCAAAGGUCUCAUCUCAGGUCCUGUUCUUCCCUCUCCCUCAAACCAUCGCCUCCUGAGGCUGCUUCUUUUGGCUGCUGGUCCUCCCUCCCAGCCUUGCUCCAUGGGAGGAAGAGGUUCCCCUCUAGUCACCAAGCCAUUGCUGAUUCAGGGACACUGGCUGAAGGGACAGCUCUAAGCCCUGAAGAGGGCAUAAGAGGAUUACUCUACUGAAAAGGAAGACUUAAGCCUGCGCCUCAGGUGUCAGUGCUCCCGGAUCCACUUGGGCACCAGCUCCUCCUCGUGCCCCCAGCCCAGCUGCCUUUGGCUGGGCAUCCUCCCUUUCAUGAGAAUUCCCUGCCUUUUUCUCCACUUUUCUUUCAGUCUCUACCUCUGAUUCUGGUCCUGAGAAGGAACCCUUCAAAUUACGUGAUGCCAUCAUCGGUAAAGACGCACCUUUCUCCUCAUGAAGUUCGUCUCUACUUGAUUACACAGUCUGCAGCACCUAUGUUUGGUUGUGCCCUUAUCUCAGGGCUUCUUAGUAUAUAGUCGGAUGGCGAGCUCUCCAUCUGUGGGUUUGACUAGAUUUCCUGGUAUUGAACCGUGCUUGCAUGCCUGGAAUAAACCCAUGUUGGUCAUAGUGUAUGUUUGCUUUGAUACAGUGUUGUAUCCUAUUGGUUAAUAUUUAGAAAAUUUGCAUCUCUAUUCAGAAAUAAAAUUUGGAGGAUUCUAGGAAGAUGGCAGCUUGAAUACGUAGCACAUCUCCUCUGUUGUCAACUUUGUUUCCAACCCAUGUGUCUUUCAAGGGCAGUGGGCAGGAGGUCGUGAAUGGGGUUAUGGAUGAAGUUUCAGCUUUCCUUGAAACUCUGGACUUGAAGAGAACUUGGAAAGAGUCAGGACCCUGGCCUGGGGAAAUAUUGGGAUGCAGUGGGUCUGGAUGGAGACUUGGAUCCUUGUCAACAGUCGCUUGUCGUAUAGAUGAGAGUUUGUUUCUGGGCUCUCAAUUCUGUUCCACUGGUCUGUGUGUCUGUCUUUAUGUGGACCCCAGAGGACCCCAGAGCAGAGUGGGAGUCAGGUCAGGUGUGCUGCAGUCCAUGGGGUCACAAAGAGUUGGACACGACUGAGCGACUGAACAACAACCCCGCCCCGCCCUAUCCUGGUAUUAGAAGGUAGCCCCUUUCCUCCCUGAGUGCUUUUGCCCUUCCCAAAGGUCUCAUCUCAGGUCCUGUUCUUCCUCUCCCUCAAACCAUCGCCUCCUGAGGCUGCUUCUUUGGCUGCUGGUCCUCCUCCCAGCCUUGCUCCAUGGGAGGAAGAGAGGUUCCCCUCUAGUCACCAAGCCAUUGCUGAUUCAGGGACACUGGCUGAAGGGACAGCUCUAAGCCCUGAAGAGGGCAUAAGAGGAUUACUCUACUGAAAAGGAAGACUUAAGCCUGCGCCUCAGGUGUCAGUGCUCCCGGAUCCACUUGGGCACCAGCUCCUCCUCGUGCCCCCAGCCCAGCUGCCUUUGGCUGGGCAUCCUCCCUUUCAUGAGAAUUCCUGCCUUUUUCUCCACUUUUCUUUCAGUCUCUACCUCUGAUUCUGGUCCUGAGAAGGAACCCUUCAAAUUACGUGAUGCCAUCAUCGGUAAAGACGCACCUUUCUCCUCAUGAAGUUCGUCUCUACUUGAUUACACAGUCUGCAGCACCUAUGUUUGGUUGUGCCCUUAUCUCAGGGCUUCUUAGUAUAUAGUCGGAUGGCGAGCUCUCCAUCUGUGGGUUUGACUAGAUUUCCUGGUAUUGAACCGUGCUUGCAUGCCUGGAAUAAACCCAUGUUGGUCAUAGUGUAUGUUUGCUUUGAUACAGUGUUGUAUCCUAUUGGUUAAUAUUUAGAAAAUUUGCAUCUCUAUUCAGAAAUAAAAUUUGGAGGAUUCUAGGAAGAUGGCAGCUUGAAUACGUAGCACAUCUCCUCUGUUGUCAACUUUGUUUCCAACCCAUGUGUCUUUCAAGGGCAGUGGGCAGGAGGUCGUGAAUGGGGUUAUGGAUGAAGUUUCAGCUUUCCUUGAAACUCUGGACUUGAAGAGAACUUGGAAAGAGUCAGGACCCUGGCCUGGGGAAAUAUUGGGAUGCAGUGGGUCUGGAUGGAGACUUGGAUCCUUGUCAACAGUCGCUUGUCGUAUAGAUGAGAGUUUGUUUCUGGGCUCUCAAUUCUGUUCCACUGGUCUGUGUGUCUGUCUUUAUGUGGACCCCAGAGGACCCCAGAGCAGAGUGGGAGUCAGGUCAGGUGUCCUCAUUCUCUGUCCCCAAGGAGGUAAGAAAAAGGAAGCCUGAGUCCUCUCUACUUCUGGAAGAACAGUGGGAACACUGGGGAGCAGAGUGGAUUCCUCCUGGUGGGGAUCCAGCCUUUGCCUUGUGCUGCCUAACGGUCCCCAGGGCCAGAGCCCAGAGUGCCUUCCACGUCCUGUGAGAAUGCAGCCCGCACAGGUGUCCUGUGGAUGGAGCGGACUCCACGGGGCAGCAGGAGGUCUGAGAUCACACUUAAGGGACGACGGAAUUGGAGGGCUGGGCACCAACCCCAAUAAAAUGGAGCUCCUGGUGGGGAGGCAUGACAAGUAAGCAACAACAAAAAUGAAGAGUAGCUAAGGGAGUCAGGUGCACACCCAAAGAUUUAAAAACAUUUAAUAGGCUUUAUUUUUCUGGAACAGUUUCAGGUUAACAGAAAAAUGGAGUAAAAGUACAGAGGACUCCCCACACCCUUUAUUUCCACCUAUACGAUUUCCCUUUUUUUUAACAUUUUCCUUUAGUGUGGUGCAUCGGUUGCAGUCGGUCAGCCAAUACUGACCUAUCAUUGUUUAACCAAAGUCCAUAUUGUAUUUAUUCAUCUGUGGGUGAAUAAACCUUUUCAUGUGCUUGUUGCCCGUUUCUAGAUCUUCUUCAGAUAAGUAUCUGUUGAGAUAAUUUGCCACUUUUUCAUUGGGUUAUCUGUCUCUUUAUUUUUGAGUUGUAAGAAUUCUUAAUAUAUUCUGGUUACUAGGCCCUUAACAGACGUGUGAUCUGUAAAUAUUUUUCCCAUUCUGCUGGUUAUCUUUUCAUUUUUUGGUCAUGUCCUUUGAUGCACAAAAUGUCAACUUUGUUUCCAACCCAUGUGUCUUUCAAGGGCAGUGGGCAGGAGGUCGUGAAUGGGGUUAUGGAUGAAGUUUCAGCUUUCCUUGAAACUCUGGACUUGAAGAGAACUUGGAAAGAGUCAGGACCCUGGCCUGGGGAAAUAUUGGGAUGCAGUGGGUCUGGAUGGAGACUUGGAUCCUUGUCAACAGUCGCUUGUCGUAUAGAUGAGAGUUUGUUUCUGGGCUCUCAAUUCUGUUCCACUGGUCUGUGUGUCUGUCUUUAUGUGGACCCCAGAGGACCCCAGAGCAGAGUGGGAGUCAGGUCAGGUGUCCUCAUUCUCUGUCCCCAAGGAGGUAAGAAAAAGGAAGCCUGAGUCCUCUCUACUUCUGGAAGAACAGUGGGAACACUGGGGAGCAGAGUGGAUUCCUCCUGGUGGGGAUCCAGCCUUUGCCUUGUGCUGCCUAACGGUCCCCAGGGCCAGAGCCCAGAGUGCCUUCCACGUCCUGUGAGAAUGCAGCCCGCACAGGUGUCCUGUGGAUGGAGCGGACUCCACGGGGCAGCAGGAGGUCUGAGAUCACACUUAAGGGACGACGGAAUUGGAGGGCUGGGCACCAACCCCAAUAAAAUGGAGCUCCUGGUGGGGAGGCAUGACAAGUAAGCAACAACAAAAAUGAAGAGUAGCUAAGGGAGUCAGGUGCACACCCAAAGAUUUAAAAACAUUUAAUAGGCUUUAUUUUUCUGGAACAGUUUCAGGUUAACAGAAAAAUGGAGUAAAAGUACAGAGGACUCCC